rnacentral:lncRNA from 1 species
CUCCUUUUGCUUUUCCAUCUCUCCCCAGGUUCUUGUUCACCUAGACCCCUCUGAAGUAAGGAGUCUGACUACAGAGCCGGCAAGCAGAUGUGAGACUCAGGAGGGUCUCUAUGUGGAACUGAGGUGGAGAAGCUCAAAGUCCCAAUCAACCCAGAUCGAGACUCUGGUGACACAACGUGAAAGCCCGCUCGGCUCGGGAAAUCCUGCCACCAGCACCUGUCUCAUUAACGCCUCCUGGAGCCGGGACAUCUCAGAAUAGGGCCCAAUACAGGUGUACUGUAGCCAGCAGCAGGUGAGGCUUCCUGGAGGACAGACAAGGCCUGAACACGGAG